rnacentral:rRNA from 1 species
UACGUAGGGUGCAAGCGUUGUCCGGAAUUAUUGGGCGUAAAGAGCGUGUAGGCGGCCCGGUUAGUCCGCUGUGAAAGUCUAGGGCUCAACCCUGGAAUGCCGGUGGAUACUGUCGGGCUAGAGUCCGGAAGGGGCGAGUGGAAUUCCUGGUGUAGCGGUGAAAUGCGCAGAUAUCAGGAGGAACACCAAUGGCGAAGGCAGCUCGCUGGGACGUGACUGACGCUGAGACGCGAAAGCGUGGGGAGCAAACAGG